rnacentral:rRNA from 1 species
AGUCACUGACAUUAGAUACCCGGGUAGUCCCAGCCGUAAACAAUGUGCGUUAGGUGUGUCGGUAACCACGCGUUACUGAUGCGCCGAAGAGAAGUCGUGAAACGCACCACCUGGGAAGUACGGUCGCAAGGCUGAAACUUAAAGGAAUUGGCGGGGAGCACCACAACAGGUGGAGCCUGCGGUUUAAUUGGAUUCAACGCCGGACAUCUCACCGGAUAAGACAGCUGAAUGAUUGUCAAUCUGAAGGUUUUACAUGACUAGCUG